UUCCGCUUGGUCUGGUAGAGGGAGGGUGACAUGCUCGGCAUCGAGGACGACGUGGCCUGGCAGGUUAAUACAGCAGUGGCCUUCUUCUCCGCUUCCAGGUUACUAGUACAUGAAGCCACUCAUGACUACAACUUACUGAACAUUCAUUCCUGGGUGCAUGCACGUGUGGAUGCUUGGCCCUGAUGCAACAACAAGGUAGAAGUAUGGACAUCCAUUUGGGAGCCAUGGCCGGCCACUGGAUCUGGCCUGAAAUGCUUGUUCUCUUAUUCUUCAAAAUUGAUGUUAGGUGCUGUAGUGGAAUGGUCCCGCGAUGACUUUUGGGGCUCAUCUUCAUGGGGAGCUGAGCUCUGGUUGUUGGGGUGAUUCGGUGGCGAGAAAUAGCAGACCUGAUAUGUCCCUCUGUUUGCUUUACUAUGUUCUGGCUCCUGCGGCGGUAGUGCUUCAACCGUGUUUAUUUUCAAGUAUUUGUAACAAUAUUCAGUGGAGUAUCAUAAGUUGUAAUAGUGUAAUCUUAGCAGGUUGCACUUCUGUGGAGUUAAACUGGCAUCCUGCUGUCUAGUUUGGUGUGCUGUAGUCACCUUUGUUAUUUGUUAUUUGCAAUGUGAUGCUGUGUGUAGUUAAAAUUUCAAGUUUCUUGUUGAAUAAAAAUCUUAAAGGUCCCAGGUUUUUCCCUUA